UUCCUUUUUUUUUUUUUCUUCUUAAAUUCAUCGGAACGUAUCAGGGGAAGAUUUAUUAGGUUCUAAUGAACAUUAUUUUUUCCUAAAAAUUUUCAAAAAGUUUAGUUUUCUUUUUUUCUUUCUAAUGAUAGGUACAAGUGCAGCUCAUCCCUUUUUCAUUAUUCUUCUAAUUGAAUUCCUGUCCACUGUUCCUUCACCUUCAGCGGUAAUUUUAUUACUUCAUUGUUACACAUGUUUGAAAGUACACACGUAACUAUAAUACCUAUACCUGUGUAUAUUCAUAUGUGUACGUACACUAGAUUUUGAUUAGCUGUACUACUAUUAACUGUUGCCUAUCGCAAUUUCCUUUGCGAUAAGGAGAUGGAUUAUAAACGUGUUCCACUGAGCAGUGACUGCAACAGCAUGUAUACAAAAUAAGAAACCUUGUGUACCAGAGAUGUUAUCGAAAGAUUCAAUUUCAUUGAAUAUUUUUUUCUUAAUCUUCGUUUUCUGCAGACGUCGCACACCCCCGAUGGCCUCUCGAACGCGAUACCACUUGUCUUUCGGCUCAUCCUUAUCUCGAGAUUCAGGGUUGAGCUCAGUCUAGGCAUCGCGACAAGAAGUUACAACCCCCUCUUUCAAUAUAAUACGAAACGAUCA